UUCUAUCUUUCUGUUGUCAUUCAGAUAAACAGCUUGACGGCAGCCUGUACCAGCUCUGACAUGUUUUUUACGUUCUUUUCUAGACCCUCUUCUCAUUCUAAGACGCUCUUUGAUAUAAUGCUCUUAUGGGGGAUUCUCUCCCAGACCAGGCGCCACCACCACCAACUCCCAACAGAAGUCUCAACAGAGAAGACGAACAUAGCCUCAAAACGACUAACGUACGAGCAAAUGGCCUCUCGCACGACUCCCUCGGAAACCAGAGUGAUCGGGAAACUAAAGUAGAACAACGGCUCUAUUCCGUAAGUGACAACUAAAGCUCAGAGUCCUGCCCGGCGAAACGAACGGCAUGCACCAAGUGUCUGUUCGGAUUCAUCACACACACAGACAGACAGAGGGAGAGAAAGAGAGAGGGAGCGGGUCCUUCAUGAAAAUAAAAGAAGAGGGAGAAGAGGGAAGAAGAGUGACACAAGAUCGUCGGAGUGGUGCAUUAAAAUUUAUCUGCAAGUCAGCGGCUGCCAUGAUAGCUGGAAUAAACUUCUCUUUGAAAGGCUCUUUCUCUCUCUCUCUCUCUCUCUCUCUCUCGUCACUUCACUUGUCCUCAGCCAUUCUCUGCUUCCCUCAGAACCAAGACAACUACCCUCUCUGUCCUCAUCAAUUCUUCACCGCUAUUUUGAUGUUUAUUUCCAUAAUUUGCAUAACCUCUCUCUCAUCUGUUCUUUUUUUCACCCCUCUUUAGUUCGCACGGAGCUGCCGUUCCUCUUUCCUUAACUUUAAAACGCUACUUUAAAAUGAAUGCAAAGGAAAUAUAUAAAUAUCUAAAGUUGG